GCCGGGCAUGGUGGCUCAUGCCUGUAAUCCCAGCACUUUGGGAGGCUGAGGCAGGUGGAUCACCUGAGGCCAGGAGUUCGUGACCAGCCUGGCCAACAUGGUGAAUUCCUGUCUCUA
rfam:Homo sapiens chromosome 14, GRCh38 reference primary assembly.